ensembl:lncRNA
UGUGGUUCUUGCUCGGCAGUUCCCGUCAACUUGUAGGAAUGAAUUGAUUGUAAUCACUGGAGUUCAUCUGAGCUUCUUGGAAAAACAAAUAAAUCGAAGACCAUCCCUUACAAGGUUCGUGUUCAUUAUACACAGUAUAUGCCUUCUGGAGAGUUCAUGACUAGACAGAAACAUAUCUGUCCUUGUCAUUGAACAAGUAUUCUUCUCUGCAGUGGAUUGGGAGAGCCAAGAGGCUAAGAUGGUGUUACUCUUAUAUGAGGGACCAUAGAAGUUGUAGUAUUAUCACAGAAAACCCACUUCAUUGCUGGCUCUUGGAGAUGAAAUUGAAAAUGCAUGUGCAGCAGUCUCAAUGACCAAGGUUAUGCAAGCAGCAGUUUGCCACACUAAUAAAUGUUUGGAAGC